ensembl:lncRNA
CUGCCCUGAACGAGGUUCUCCUCUACCCUCAGUCCCCUCAGAAAGACUAGGACCUGCCCUGAACGAGGUUCUCCUCUACCCUCUGUCCCCUCAGAAAGAAUAGGACCUGCCCUGAAUGAGGUUCUCCUCUACCCCCAGUCCCCUCAGAAAGAAUAGGACCUGCCCUGAACGAGGUUCUCCUCUACCCCCAGUCCCCUCAGACAGAAUAGGACCUGCCCUGAACGAGGUUCUCCUCUACCCUCAGUCCCCUCAGAAAGAAUAGGAUCUGCCCUGAACGAGGUUCUCCUCUACCCCCAGUCCCCUCAGAAAGAAUAGGACCUGCCCUGAACGAGGUUCUCCUCUACCCCCAGUCCCCUCAGACAGAAUAGGACCUGCCCUGAACGAGGUUCUCCUCUACCCUCUGUCCCCUCAGAAAGAAUAGGACCUGCCCUGAACGAGGUUCUCCUCUACCCCCAGUCCCCUCAGAAAGAACAGGACCUGCCCUGAACGAGGUUCUCCUCUACCCCCAGUCCCCUCAGACAGAAUAGGACCUGCCCUGAACGAGGUUCUCCUCUACCCUCAGUCCCCUCAGACAGAACAGGACCUGCCCUGAAUGAGGUUCUCUACCCUCUGUCCCCUCAGAAAGACUAGGACCUGCCCUGAAUGAGGUUCUCUACCCCCAGUCCCCUCAGAAAGAAUAGGACCUGGUUUGUGAUCUAAAAAAAAUCAGACAAUAUCAGGAACUGCAUCUCAGCUGUACUUACUGUCUGUUGGUGGGGGGCGCUUAACAGAAGGUCCACUAUAGGGCCCUGGGCAACAUGUGCACUAUAUAGGGAAUGAGGGGGGUGUGACUGAGUGAAGUCAUCCACUCUGCCCUCAGUCCCCUCAGGGGGGGGGGUGUGACUGAGUGAAGUCAUCCACUCUGCCCUCAGUCCCCUCAGGGGGGGGUGUGACUGAGUGAAGUCAUCCACUCUGCCCUCAGUCCCCUCAGGGGGGGGUGACUGAGUGAAGUCAUCCACUCUGCCCUCAGUCCCCUCAGGGGGUGUGACUGAGUGAAGUCAUCCACUCUGCCCUCAGUCCCCUCAGGGGGUGACUGAGUGAAGUCAUCCACUCUGCCCUCAGUCCCCUCAGGGGGGGUGUGACUGAGUGAAGUCAUCCACUCUGCCCUCAACAGGAGAACUCUGGACCAGACUGACUAGGGAGGUGUUUACCCCGGUGGUCGUUACGACACCGUCACUUCCAGAAGGAAUUAACAGUGGAUCAAAAUGUAAAUAUUACGUUUUAUUGUAAAGAAGGAAUAAUAUGUUGGGAUGUAAAUAAAUUAGUUUGAUGGUUAGUUGUUGUUUGUUGUUUUGACAUAUGUAAUAUUAAAGGUGAGUCUGUGUCGUCAUUAAAGGUGUGAGCAGCAUGAUCCAUAGGACUGACUAUAACCAACAGCAUUUUAUACCCAACUGUUACUCACAAUUCAGCUUGACCACUGAGGAAAUGUGUUUGGUAAUGCUAACCUGCCUGUUAAAUAUAUACUGAACAAACAUGUCAAUGAUUUAAACUCCG